ACAUUUAUUACCGCUACAUACUGCUGUAAUGAUAUGCUAUGCGGUUCAUAAGGAUAGUGUAACUAAAAAAUGACCAUAAUUAGUUAAAGCAAAGAAUUUGUAUCCACUCUCGCAUAUUUCCAGUCAGCAGGGAGAUGCUGCCCAAUUUUAUCCAUGGUUGGAUUUUUUCAUAUUCAAGCCGAAUUGGUAGAACACCUUUGCGCUUCCUUUCCUAUGGUUUUGCUAUAGUUGACCUCUUCCUGACCGUGGCCAAAGAGUUUAGAUUUACUCAUUCACCGCUCUAAUAUAUGCCAAUUAAACUAUUUUCUAAGGUAGUGAUACCCACUUCCCUGGAGAGUAGUUAUGGUAUGUGCCUUUUAAUUGGUAAUGGUUUUAAUACCUUGUAUUAGAACCAAUACUGGAACAUCUGCCAAUUUACUACUGGAGAAUAUGUGUUCCUUUAUUCCAUCACACAGUGCAGCCAGUCGGGAUGAUAGGGUCCAUCGUGUGUCCAUAAUAUAAAUCUCUCGUCAAUACACACACUCAGGAAACAAAAACAAACACACAAAACAAACAGUAUUUGGUUAGGAACGUCUACUUUUCUUAUAAUUUGAAAAGAGUAUUUCUCCUCCAUCAAAAUGUUUUUUGCUCUAUGUAAUUAUAAAUCUUGUACCCACAUGGUAGUUCCUCUUAUGCACAUUUCCGUGUAGGGUUUACAUUUAUAGCUGGUUUGCCAAUCAUAACCAACUGUUUUACUAGUACACUGAUUAAUACAUUUGAUUUUACAAUGUUUCUAAAUAUUUUUUCACACGUUCUUUUUCUUUACAUUUUUUAAAUAUUUUUUUACCUGCAGGAAUAUGUUUUAUAUCUCAGGAUUGUGCCCUGGAAUCACAUAACUCGUAACCGUGUCAUAUCAUCCCAUGACUGCUUUUCUGCUUCAACAGAGAAAUACAACCCCUGUCUCUAACCAGGAUACUUCUGCUUCAACAGAGAAACACAUCCCCUGUCUCUAACCAGGAUACUUCUGCUUCAACAGAGAAAUACAACCCCUGUCUCUAACCAGGAUACUUCUGCUUCAACAGAGAAAUACAACCCCUGUCUCUAACCAGGAUACUUCUGCUUAAAAGAAAAGAUCCCAAUCGGAGAUGUCCCCUGCCCUAGAAUUACUCCUAGGAUUUCCCCUAUUCAGAAAUAACUCUGCUACAACAAAGUUUCUAACUAGGGGUGUCUUUGCUUCAACAAAGACAAUGUGCACAACCUGUUCUUAGAACAGGAUUUUCUAUGAUGUUUAAAAAAAAAAUCAGUCCCACCCUGAGUUUAUCUUAUGUGUCCGGAAUGACGUAUCCACUCACUGACACUCCCGGCAGGUCUGAGGUGGGUCCCCCUCUGCUCCAUUUUAGUCGGAGUGUUUGGGACCCUGAGCCAUGUCUAACGGAGCCCCUGCGCGCAGUUUAACCUCCGUCUCCUGGGAGAAAUCAGCAAGCAGAGUUAGCAUCCCACAGCUGUCACCAAUUUGUCAUGGAAUAUCUAAUCAAAGGGAAGAGAGACUGCAGAUUCUUUCAAACAACACUUUAUCAUAUGAUUUGCAAAAAUGGAGAAUCAACUACCCACUCAACAGUGCAUAGUUGAAAAGCUCCACGAACAGUGCCGGUUCAAUGCUUUUAUAGAGAAAAUACAUACAACCCCUGUUCUGUAUAUGUGGCAGUCAGCAGAUAGUGUGUAAAAGGUCAUUAGUUGUCUGUGUAAACUCAAGAUGGCACAAGGUUGACAGCCUGAGGUCUCAACCUUCUAACUGCAUUCACAACAACAAACACUAUAUUGUACUCCUUUCUAUAAGGCUCCAUACAUGUGACUUUCUGUUGAUAGUAAACCCACAGGAUUUCACAUGCUGUGGUUACACCCAAACAUCUCUUAGCUGUAAGCCCAGUCUUACGACUAAGUCACACCAAGACAAGUUUGUAUCAGGUUAUAAAAAACACUCACAUAUAACAAGAGACUAUUCUUUAAGCAGUAAAACACGGGAUAAUAUGACUAAUUAUGUAGUUUUCCGCGACAGUACUUUCAAAUCACUGAAACUCCACCUGAUGUGGUGGAAGUUGUCGAACCAGAUCAGAACACCUUCGAGAACCACCUUCAGGCACGGACUGAGGAGGUGGAGGUUUUUGACCAGUCAAGGUGAGACUGAACAUGGACAAGGCGCAGGAGAAACAGAAGGAGAGCUACCGGAGCAGAAUCAAGAAGGGGACCAAGUGCUACAACAUUCGGGCAAAUUACUUGGUUUGGAAGAAGGACGAAAGGAAGGCGAGACUUGGGAAACCUCGCUGCUCUUUCACCUCCUAGCUGAGGUCACCAUCUGUUAAAGGUUACCUCAGUGGACGCAACUGAAAACACUGACACCCUACACUUCAGUGAAGCCCAAAGAGCGAGGGGUUCUGCCCAUCACCCAGAUGUGGAUCCACCUGAUGUCCUCCAUUACCAAACACCCUCCAACUUUCCAUUACAUCAGCUACUGUUAUUGUCAUGUUGUCAUUAUCUGCUAAUAAAGUUUACUGGGCUCAUAA